rnacentral:rRNA from 1 species
UACGUAGGGGGCUAGCGUUGUCCGGAAUCAUUGGGCGUAAAGAGCGCGUAGGCGGCUAGAUAAGUCCGGUGUGAAAGUCACAGGCUCAACCUGUGAAUGCCGCUGGAAACUGUCUGGCUAGAGUCCGGAAGGGGCGAGUGGAAGUUCCUGGUGUAGCGGUGAAAUGCGCAGAUAUCAGGAGGAACACCAAUGGCGAAGGCAGCUCGCUGGAACGGUACUGACGCUGGAGGCGCGAAAGCGUGGGGAGCGAACAGG